rfam:Triticum aestivum genome assembly, contig: Triticum_aestivum_CS42_TGACv1_scaffold_362143_4DS
CAUCUACUCCUUCCGUUUGAAAAUGCUUGUCAUUAAAAUGGAUGUAUCGAGAUGUAUUUUAGUUUUAGAUACAUUAUUUUUAUCCAUUUUGUUGACAAGUAUUUUCGGACGGAGGGAGUAUAUA